UAACGACGUCGGGGCGAACCUACGCCCCACUAGAGGGGACGGAACAAGCUGGAAACGGGACGUGCUAAUAACCGCAUAACAAGGAGAGAGCGCAUGUUCUUUUCUUCAAAGAUUUAUCGCUAUGGGAUGGACCCGCGUCUGAUUAGCUAGUUGGUGAGGUAACGGCUCACCAAGGCGACGAUCAGUAGCCGGCUUGAGAGAGUGAACGGCCACAUUGGGACUGAGACACGGCCCAGACUCCUACGGAAGGCAGCAG
rnacentral:rRNA from 1 species